AUGCCGAAGAUAUUGGUGUGCCUCGUGGCUCUAGGAUGUUCAGGCACGCCGAUGCGGGCUGUUAAAUUCCUCAGCAAGGAGAAAAUCGCCGCCAAAGCGGAGCACUUGAAGAAGGCGUUCAGGUGGUCUGAUGCUGAGGUGGGCAUUGCUUUGUCCAAGCUUCCAUCUGUGCUGACAAGGUCUAACCAGACGCUGGAGAGCAAGUCAGAGUUCCUAAUCUCUGAGGUGGGGUUUGAACCAGCAUACAUUGCUCAUCAUCCGGCAUUGCUCACGUACAGCCUGGAGGGCCGGAUCAUAUCCCGGUACUAUGUUGUUAAGUUUCUUAAGGAAAAUGGACUGCUGGAUCACAACCGGAGCUACUAUUCUGCAGUCACUCUGAUGGAGAAAGUAUUCGUGGACAAGUACAUAUGCCCUCACAAGGAAGUUGCACUAUACCUUGCUGAAGACUAUGGUGCCGCUUGCAGAGGGGAGGUGCCGACUAGAUUCAAAUUUACAUGA
rnacentral:rRNA from 1 species